UCACAGUAGCUCUAGUGGAAUUAAGAAUGAACUAAUAAAUUGGUAAAUUCCAUUUCAGUUUGUAUCUUGCACAGUCCUUGCUGAUUUCUUUAUCUAGGCGAUGUGAAUUAGGAUGGAAUAUGUCUGAGAACUGACUAAAAUAAUUGGAUGCACAACCUAUGAUGAAAUUAAUGACCGCAUGGCUAUAAUCCACUCACUGGGUUUGAAACUGUUAAG